GAUGAACGCUGGCGGCGUGCUUAACACAUGCAAGUCGAACGAAGCAUUUAAGACAGAUUACUUCGGUUUGAAGUCUUUUAUGACUGAGUGGCGGACGGGUGAGUAACGCGUGGGUAACCUGCCUCAUACAGGGGGAUAGCAGCUGGAAACGGCUGGUAAUACCGCAUAAGCGCACAGUACCACAUGGUACAGUGUGAAAAACUCCGGUGGUAUGAGAUGGACCCGCGUCUGAUUAGCUUGUUGGCGGGGUAACGGCCCACCAAGGCGACGAUCAGUAGCCGACCUGAGAGGGUGACCGGCCACAUUGGGACUGAGACACGGCCCAGACUCCUACGGGAGGCAGCAGUGGGGAAUAUUGCACAAUGGAGGAAACUCUGAUGCAGCGACGCCGCGUGAGUGAAGAAGUAGUUCGCUAUGUAAAGCUCUAUCAGCAGGGAAGAUAGUGACGGUACCUGACGAAGAAGCGCCGGCUAAAUACGUG
rnacentral:rRNA from 1 species